rnacentral:tRNA from 1 species
GGGCCCGUAGCUCAGUUGGUUAGAGCCGUCGACUCAUAAUCGACUGGUCGCCGGUUCGAGUCCGGCCGGGCCCACCA